AUCGAGCGCUGGCGGCAGGCCUAAUACAUGCAAGUCGAACGAUUGGCGGACGGGUGAGUCAUGUCUGGGAAACUGCCCGAUGGAGGGGGAUAACUACUGGAAACGUUAGCUAAUACCGCAUACCAUCGGUUGUGCCCAGAGGGGAGUAGCUAGUAGGUGGGGUAACGGCUCACCUGGGCGACGAUCCCUAGCUGGUCUGAGAGGAUGACCGGCAACACGGGAACUGGGACACGGUCCGGAUCCCAACGGAGGGAGGCAGUGGGGAAUAUUGGACAUGGAGCGCAAGCCUGAUGAGGCCAUGCGGGGGGUAUGAGGAGGGCCUUCGGGUUGUAAGGUACUUUCAGCGGGGAGGCGUUACCCGCAGAAGAAGGGCCGGCUAACUCCGUGCCAGCAGCCGCGGUAAUAC
rnacentral:rRNA from 1 species